rnacentral:tmRNA from 1 species
GGGGGCGACAGGCUUCGACAGGGGCUUGUAUAGAUCUUUGAAUGCACGUCGGGCUUGUAAGGUUAGCUCGUUAAAAAAACUUUGCAAAAACAAAUGCUAAUCAAGAAUUAGCCCUUGCUGCCUAAUUAACUUUAGCUCCAGCAAUGUCAACGGGGAAGUCCGCCUGAUGCGACCCUACUUGGCAUAACUCAGUUCAGGCUCGGGCCCGUUCACCACCUGCGAACGGGGCUUAAAGUCAGUCAGGUUAGCCUUUGGAGAGGUCUUGUCGGUUCAUCUGCUCUUCUAAGGCGAAACAUAAGUGAACUCGACUAAACGUGUAGAUUUCACUGGUCGCAACCUUUGGAUGCGGGUUCGAUUCCCGCCGCCUCCACCA